rnacentral:rRNA from 1 species
UACGGAGGAUCCAAGCGUUAUCCGGAAUCAUUGGGUUUAAAGGGUCCGUAGGCGGUUUUGUAAGUCAGUGGUGAAAGCCCAUCGAUCUCAACGGUGGAAACGGCCAUUGAUACUGCAAGACUUGAAUUACUAGGAAGUAACUAGAAUAUGUAGUGUAGCGGUGAAAUGCUUAGAUAUUACAUGGAAUACCAAUUGCGAAGGCAGGUUACUACUAGUGGAUUGACGCUGAUGGACGAAAGCGUGGGGAGCGAAC